AUGUUUGAGUGUGCCACGAGCCGUGGCAUCCUUGAGCCUAUCCCUCGGAAUGCCGUAAGGACGAGGACCAGCCUUUAUGCUGAUGAUGCUGCAAUUUUUUCCUCGCCGGAUCGCUUUCAACUACUUGCUAUCUUCAAGAUUCUAGAGGUUUUUGGGUCCAUCUCUGGCCUCAAAAUCAACCCGGCUAAAUGUGUCGCUUACCCUAUCAGUUGCCAACAGAACGAUGUGCAGUCGUAUCUGGCAAGCUUUGGCGGUUCUGUUGGAUCUUUUCCGUGCAAGUAUCUUGGGCUCCCCCUCUCCUUCAAAAAGCUGAGAAGGAUUGAUUUACAACCAUUCCUUGACAAGGGCUCUGGGAGGUUAAGCAGAUGGAAAGGAAAGCUUCUCAACCGGACAGGUCGCCUGGAUCUGAUCAAUUCUGUCCUCACAGCCACCAUCACCUUCUUCCUCACUGCCUUCACCCCGAAUGGAUGGUUCACUAGGAAGUUUGACAGGUUGAGACGUAAUUUUCUUUGGAAUGCCGAUGAGGAGGCCCACGGUGGAAAAUGCCUUGUUAAUUGGAAAAGGAUCUGCGCACCCAAGAAUGUGGGUGGCCUGGGUAUUAAGGAUAUCCACGCCUUCGGCCGUGCUCUCCGCCUUCGCUGGCCUUGGUAUGAAUGGGAUGAGGUUCAGAGACCAUGGCAGGGGACUCCGGUGCCUUGUGAACAGGCCGAUUUGAACCUAUUUGUGGCCUGUACAACCAUUUCUUUAGGCGAUGGUCGAACCAUAAAUUUUUGGAGUCACAGAUGGCUACAGGGUCUUGCUCCCAAGGAGAUUGCCCCAGAAUUGUUCAAAAUGGCCAGAUCUAAGAAGUUGACUGUACGUGAUGCGUUGUCCAAUGACUCUUGGAUGAGAGGUUUGAUGAAUAUUAGCUCAUCGGUUUUAAUGGACUCCUUCAUCAGCCUAUGGUGGACUUUGCAAGGAAUCACCCUUCAGCCUUGCCCGGAUUCAAUCCGUCGGAAUCUAACCGCUAAUGGAAUUUACACCGCCAAGUCUGCCUUACUGCCUAUCACUUUCAGUUUCUAA
rnacentral:rRNA from 1 species